AAUGGGUCAGCGACUUAUAUUCUGUAGCAAGGUUAACCGAAUAGGGGAGCCGAAGGGAAACCGAGUCUUAACUGGGCGUUAAGUUGCAGGGUAUAGACCCGAAACCCGGUGAUCUAGCCAUGGGCAGGUUGAAGGUUGGGUAACACUAACUGGAGGACCGAACCGACUAAUGUUGAAAAAUUAGCGGAUGACUUGUGGCUGGGGGUGAAAGGCCAAUCAAACCGGGAGAUAGCUGGUUCUCCCCGAAAGCUAUUUAGGUAGCGCCUCGUGAAUUCAUCUCCGGGGGUAGAGCACUGUUUCGGCAAGGGGGUCAUCCCGACUUACCAACCCGAUGCAAACUGCGAAUACCGGAGAAUGUUAUCACGGGAGACACACGGCGGGUGCUAACGUCCGUCGUGAAGAGGGAAACAACCCAGACCGCCAGCUAAGGUCCCAAAGUCAUGGUUAAGUGGGAAACGAUGUGGGAAGGCCCAGACAGCCAGGAUGUUGGCUUAGAAGCAGCCAUCAUUUAAAGAAAGCGUAAUAGCUCACUGGUCGAGUCGGCCUGCGCGGAAGAUGUAACGGGGCUAAACCAUGCACCGAAGCUGCGGCAGCGACACUAUGUGUUGUUGGGUAGGGGAGCGUUCUGUAAGCCUGUGAAGGUGUACUGUGAGGUAUGCUGGAGGUAUCAGAAGUGCGAAUGCUGACAUAAGUAACGAUAAAGCGGGUGAAAAGCCCGCUCGCCGGAAGACCAAGGGUUCCUGUCCAACGUUAAUCGGGGCAGGGUGAGUCGACCCCUAAGGCGAGGCCGAAAGGCGUAGUCGAUGGGAAACAGGUUAAUAUUCCUGUACUUGGUGUUACUGCGAAGGGGGGACGGAGAAGGCUAUGUUGGCCGGGCGACGGUUGUCCCGGUUUAAGCGUGUAGGCUGGUUUUCCAGGCAAAUCCGGAAAAUCAAGGCUGAGGCGUGAUGACGAGGCACUACGGUGCUGAAGCAACAAAUGCCCUGCUUCCAGGAAAAGCCUCUAAGCAUCAGGUAACAUCAAAUCGUACCCCAAACCGACACAGGUGGUCAGGUAGAGAAUACCAAGGCGCUUGAGAGAACUCGGGUGAAGGAACUAGGCAAAAUGGUGCCGUAACUUCGGGAGAAGGCACGCUGAUAUGUAGGUGAAGUCCCUCGCGGAUGGAGCUGAAAUCAGUCGAAGAUACCAGCUGGCUGCAACUGUUUAUUAAAAACACAGCACUGUGCAAACACGAAAGUGGACGUAUACGGUGUGACGCCUGCCCGGUGCCGGAAGGUUAAUUGAUGGGGUCAGCGCAAGCGAAGCUCUUGAUCGAAGCCCCGGUAAACGGCGGCCGUAACUAUAACGGUCCUAAGGUAGCGAAAUUCCUUGUCGGGUAAGUUCCGACCUGCACGAAUGGCGUAAUGAUGGCCAGGCUGUCUCCACCCGAGACUCAGUGAAAUUGAACUCGCUGUGAAGAUGCAGUGUACCCGCGGCAAGACGGAAAGACCCCGUGAACCUUUACUAUAGCUUGACACUGAACAUUGAGCCUUGAUG
rnacentral:rRNA from 1 species